AUGCGUUGUUGGGUAGGGGAGCGUUCUGUAAGCCUGCGAAGGUGUGCUGUGAGGCAUGCUGGAGGUAUCAGAAGUGCGAAUGCUGACAUAAGUAACGAUAAAGCGGGUGAAAAGCCCGCUCGCCGGAAGACCAAGGGUUCCUGUCCAACGUUAAUCGGGGCAGGGUGAGUCGACCCCUAAGGCGAGGCCGAAAGGCGUAGUCGAUGGGAAACAGGUUAAUAUUCCUGUACUUGGUGUUACUGCGAAGGGGGGACGGAGAAGGCUAUGUUGGCCGGGCGACGGUUGUCCCGGUUUAAGCGUGUAGGCUGGUUUUCCAGGCAAAUCCGGAAAAUCAAGGCUGAGGCGUGAUGACGAGGCACUGCGGUGCUGAAGCAACAAAUGCCCUGCUUCCAGGAAAAGCCUCUAAGCAUCAGGUAACAUCAAAUCGUACCCCAAACCGACACAGGUGGUCAGGUAGAGAAUACCAAGGCGCUUGAGAGAACUCGGGUGAAGGAACUAGGCAAAAUGGUGCCGUAACUUCGGGAGAAGGCACGCUGAUAUGUAGGUGAAGUCCCUCGCGGAUGGAGCUGAAAUCAGUCGAAGAUACCAGCUGGCUGCAACUGUUUAUUAAAAACACAGCACUGUGCAAACACGAAAGUGGACGUAUACGGUGUGACGCCUGCCCGGUGCCGGAAGGUUAAUUGAUGGGGUUAGCGCAAGCGAAGCUCUUGAUCGAAGCCCCGGUAAACGGCGGCCGUAACUAUAACGGUCCUAAGGUAGCGAAAUUCCUUGUCGGGUAAGUUCCGACCUGCACGAAUGGCGUAAUGAUGGCCAGGCUGUCUCCACCCGAGACUCAGUGAAAUUGAACUCGCUGUGAAGAUGCAGUGUACCCGCGGCAAGACGGAAAGACCCCGUGAACCUUUACUAUAGCUUGACACUGAACAUUGAGCCUUGAUGUGUAGGAUAGGUGGGAGGCUUUGAAGUGUGGACGCCAGUCUGCAUGGAGCCGACCUUGAAAUACCACCCUUUAAUGUUUGAUGUUCUAACGUUGACCCGUAAUCCGGGUUGCGGACAGUGUCUGGUGGGUAGUUUGACUGGGGCGGUCUCCUCCUAAAGAGUAACGGAGGAGCACGAAGGUUGGCUAAUCCUGGUCGGACAUCAGGAGGUUAGUGCAAUGGCAUAAGCCAGCUUGACUGCGAGCGUGACGGCGCGAGCAGGUGCGAAAGCAGGUCAUAGUGAUCCGGUGGUUCUGAAUGGAAGGGCCAUCGCUCAACGGAUAAAAGGUACUCCGGGGAUAACAGGCUGAUACCGCCCAAGAGUUCAUAUCGACGGCGGUGUUUGGCACCUCGAUGUCGGCUCAUCACAUCCUGGGGCUGAAGUAGGUCCCAAGGGUAUGGCUGUUCGCCAUUUAAAGUGGUACGCGAGCUGGGUUUAGAACGUCGUGAGACAGUUCGGUCCCUAUCUGCCGUGGGCGCUGGAGAACUGAGGGGGGCUGCUCCUAGUACGAGAGGACCGGAGUGGACGCAUCACUGGUGUUCGGGUUGUCAUGCCAAUGGCACUGCCCGGUAGCUAAAUGCGGAAGAGAUAAGUGCUGAAAGCAUCUAAGCACGAAACUUGCCCCGAGAUGAGUUCUCCCUGACUCCUUGAGAGUCCUGAAGGAACGUUGAAGACGACGACGUUGAUAGGCCGGGUGUGUAAGCGCAGCGAUGCGUUGAGCUAACCGGUACUAAUGAACCGUGAGGCUUAACCUU
rnacentral:rRNA from 2 species